rnacentral:rRNA from 1 species
UACGAAGGGGGCUAGCGUUGCUCGGAAUCACUGGGCGUAAAGGGUGCGUAGGCGGGUCUUUAAGUCAGGGGUGAAAUCCUGGAGCUCAACUCCAGAACUGCCUUUGAUACUGAAGAUCUUGAGUUCGGGAGAGGUGAGUGGAACUGCGAGUGUAGAGGUGAAAUUCGUAGAUAUGGGGAGGAACACCGGUGGCGAAGGCGACCAUCUGGACGGAUACUGACGCUGAGACGCGAAAGCGUGGGGAGCAAACAGGG